GAGAGCCGUGUGCGGGAGAACCGCACGCACGGUUCGAAAGGAGAGACGGGCUAAACCCGUCCCUACCACUAU
rnacentral:ncRNA from 1 species